GACGAACGCUGGCGGCGUGCUUAACACAUGCAAGUCGAACGGAAAGGCCUGCUUUCCCUUGUGGAUUGCGGGUACUCGAGUGGCGAACGGGUGAGUAACACGUGAGUGAUCUGCCCCCAACUUGGGUAUAAGCCUGGGAAACUGGGUCUAAUUCCCGAUAGGACUGCAGGGUGGUGCCUGUGGUGGAAAACGAUUUUCUAGUGGUUGGGGAUGAGCUCGCGGCCUAUCAGCUUGUUGGUGGGGUAAUGGCCUACCAAGGCGGCGACGGGUAGCCGGCCUGAGAGGGUGGACGGCCACAAUGGGACUGAGAUACGGCCCAGACUCCUACGGGAGGCAGCAGUGGGGAAUAUUGCACAAUGGGCGGAAGCCUGAUGCAGCGACGCCGCGUGGGGGAUGACGGCCUUCGGGUUGUAAACUCCUUUCGACCGCGAGGAAGCCACCUGGUUGGAAGGGUGGUGACGGUAGUGGUAGAAGAAGCACCGGCUAACUACGUG
rnacentral:rRNA from 1 species